ensembl:snRNA U6 U6 spliceosomal RNA
GUGCUCACUUUGGCAGCACAUAUACUAAAAUUGGAACGGUACAGAGAAGAUUAGCAUGGCCCUUGUGUAAGGAUGACAUGCAAAUUCAUGAAGCGUUCCAUAUUUUA